AUUGAACGCUGGCGGCAUGCCUUACACAUGCAAGUCGAACGGUAACGGGCCUUCGGGUGCCGACGAGUGGCGAACGGGUGAGUAAUACAUCGGAACGUGCCCGAUCGUGGGGGAUAACGAGGCGAAAGCUUUGCUAAUACCGCAUACGAUCUACGGUUGAAAUCCGGGGACCGCAAGGCCUUGCGCGGACGGAGCGGCCGAUGGCCGAUUAGGUAGUUGGUGGGGUAAAAGCUUACCCAGCCGACGAUCUGUAGCUGUUCUGAGAGGAUGAUCAGCCACACUGGAACUGAGACACGGACCAGACUCCUACGGGAGGCAGCAGUGGGGAAUUUUAGACAAUGGGCGCAAGCCUGAUCCAGCCAUGCCGCGUGCAGGAUGAAGGCCUUCGGGUUGUAAACUGCUUUUGUACGGAACGAAAAGCCUUCUUUUAAUACAGGGGGGUCAUGACGGUACCGUAAGAAUAAGCACCGGCUAACUACGUG
rnacentral:rRNA from 1 species